AACGAACGCUGGCGGCAGGCCUAACACAUGCAAGUCGAGCGAACCCUUCGGGGUUAGCGGCGGACGGGUGAGUAACGCGUGGGAACGUGCCCUUCUCUGCGGAAUAGGCUCGGGAAACUGGGUUUAAUACCGCAUACGCCCUUCGGGGGAAAGAUUUAUCGGAGAAGGAUCGGCCCGCGUUAGAUUAGGUAGUUGGUGGGGUAAUGGCCUACCAAGCCUACGAUCUAUAGCUGGUUUGAGAGGAUGAUCAGCCACACUGGGACUGAGACACGGCCCAGACUCCUACGGGAGGCAGCAGUGAGGAAUCUUGGACAAUGGGGGGAACCCUGAUCCAGCCAUGCCGCGUGAGCGAUGAAGGCCUUAGGGUUGUAAAGCUCUUUCAGUCGUGAAGAUAAUGACGGUAGCGAC
rnacentral:rRNA from 1 species